UCCAUUUUAAGGAAUUCCAGUUGGGUUGAC
rnacentral:piRNA from 1 species